UACGGGGGGGGCAAGCGUUGUUCGGAAUUACUGGGCGUAAAGGGCUGGUAGGCGGCCAACUAAGUCGGAUGUGAAAUCCCCAGGCUUAACCUGGGAACUGCAUCCGAUACUGGUCGGCUUGAAUCCGGGAGAGGGAUGCAGAAUUCCAGGUGUAGCGGUGAAAUGCGUAGAUAUCUGGAGGAACACCGGUGGCGAAGGCGGCUACCUGGCCCAACAUUGACACUGAGACCCGAAAGCGUGGGGAUCAAACAGG
rnacentral:rRNA from 1 species